rnacentral:lncRNA from 1 species
GCACAUGGGAGAAAUGUUUCAUACAUGCUAGACUGCAAGACAACAACAAAUGAGGAGGAGGACAGACGAGAUUCUGGGAUUAAGUGCACACUACACUCAUGCUCUGGGAAAAGACGGCUUAAAGAUUCAAAACGUGACAGCCACACCAGAGACACACAUGUGGUGUUAAAAUAUCAGGAUCCCAUUGUGCCAUUCUUGGUACAGCACACAGAUUCAAGAAGCCAACAUGUUCAAUACAACACAUGGGCCUCCCUUGUGCCCACAAUGCCUCAGGGUAUUCUGGGCUCCAGGACUGAAUACAGAAAUGAAGAUAAAUAAAUAAAUAAAUAA